rnacentral:rRNA from 1 species
GAUGAACGCUGGCGGCGUGCCUAACACAUGCAAGUCGAGCGAAGCAUUUAGCAGGAAGUUUUCGGAUGGAAUGAGAAGUGACUGAGUGGCGGACGGGUGAGUAACGCGUGGGUAACCUGCCUUACACAGGGGGAUAACAGAUAGAAAUGUCUGCUAAAACCGCAUAAUACAGAAGAACCGCAUGGUUUUUUUGUCAAAUAUUCAUAGGUGUAAGAUGGGCCCGCGUCUGAUUAGCUAGUUGGUGAGGUAAUGGCUCACCAAGGCAACGAUCAGUAGCCGGCUUGAGAGAGUGACCGGCCACAUUGGGACUGAGACACGGCCCAAACUCCUACGGGAGGCAGCAGUGGGGGAUAUUGCACAAUGGGGGAAACCCUGAUGCAGCGACGCCGCGUGAGUGAAGAAGUAUUUCGGUAUGUAAAGCUCUAUCAGCAGGGAAGAAUAUAGUGACGGUACCUGACUAAGAAGCCCCGGCUAACUACGUGCCAGCCGCCGCCGUAACAC